rnacentral:rRNA from 1 species
UACGUAGGGGGCAAGCGUUGUCCGGAUUUAUUGGGCGUAAAGAGCUCGUAGGCGGUUUGGUAAGUCGGGUGUGAAAUCUCCACGCUCAACGUGGAGGGGCCACUCGAUACUGCCAUGACUCGAGUCCGGUAGAGGAGUGUGGAAUUCCCGGUGUAGCGGUGAAAUGCGCAGAUAUCGGGAGGAACACCCGUAGCGAAGGCGGCACUCUGGACCAACACUGACGCUGAGUGAGCGAAAGCCAGGGGAGCAAACGGG